ACCCUUUAAACAGCUUAAAGGGGGGCGGCAGGGUAGCCUAGUGGUUAGAGUGGAGGGGCGGCAGGGUAGCCUAGUGGUUAGAGUGGAGGGGCGGCAGGGUAGCCUAGUGGUUAGAGUGUAGAGGCGGCAGGGUAGCCUAGUGGUUAGAGUGUAGAGGCGGCAGGUAGCCUAGUGGUUAGAGUGUAGAGGCGGCAGGGUAGCCUAGUGGUUAGAGUGUAGAGGCGGCAGGUAGCCUAGUGGUUAGAGUGUAGAGGCGGCAGGUAGCCUAGUGGUUAGAGUGUAGAGGCGGCAGGUAGCCCAGUGGUUAGAGUGUAGAGGCGGCAGGUAGCCUAGUGGUUAGAGUGUAGAGGAGGCAGGUAGCCUAGUGGUUAGAGUGUAGAGGAGGCAGGUAGCCUAGUGGUUAGAGUGUAGAGGAGGCAGGUAGCCUAGUGGUUAGAGUGCAGAG